rnacentral:rRNA from 1 species
UAACACCAGCGCCACGAGUGGUGACCGUUUUUAUUGGGCCUAAAGCGUUCGUAGCUGGUUUAGUAAAUCUUUUGUGAAAUCGUUAAGCUUAACUUAACGGCGUGCAGAGGACACUGCUGAACUUGGGACUGGGAGGAGUCAGAAGUAUUCUUGGGGGAGCGGUAAAAUGCUAUAAUCCCUAGAGGACUACCGGUGGCGAAGGCGUCUGACUAGAACAGAUCCGACAGUGAGGGACGAAAGCUAGGGGAGCGAUCCGGAUUAGAUACCCGAGUAGUCCUAGCUGUAAACGCUGCGAGUCAGGUGUUGCACAUUUUUUGUGAAUGUGCAGUGUCGAAAUGAAGAUGUUAAACUCGCCGCCUGGGAAGUAUGGUUGCAAGACUG